rnacentral:rRNA from 1 species
UGGGGAAUCUUGGACAAUGGGGGCAACCCUGAUCCAGCGAUGCCGCGUGGGUGAAGAAGGCCUUCGGGUUGUAAAGCCCUUUAGGUUGGGAAGAAGUUUACCAGGGGAAUAUCCUGGUAGAUUGACGGUACCGACAGAAUAAGCACCGGCAAACUCUGUGCCAGCAGCCGCGGUAAUACAGAGGGUGCAAGCGUUAAUCGGAGUUACUGGGCGUAAAGGGCGCGUAGGCGGUUAUAUGUGUGGAAUGUGAAAGCCCUGGGCUUAACCUAGGAAGUGCAUACCAAACUAUAUAACUGGAGUAUGGGAGAGGGUGGCGGAAUUUCCGGUGUAGCGGUGAAAUGCGUAGAGAUCGGAAGGAACGUCGAUGGCGAAGGCAGCCACCUGGCCCAAUACUGACGCUGAGGCGCGAAAGCGUGGGGAGCGAACA